rnacentral:rRNA from 1 species
ACUCCUACGGGAGGCAGCAGUGGGGAAUUUUGCGCAAUGGGGGAAACCCUGACGCAGCAACGCCGCGUGAGUGAUGAAGGCUUUCGGGUCGUAAAGCUCUGUCAGAAGGGAAGAAAUGUGGGUGGCUAAUAUCCAUACCACUUGACGGUACCUUCAAAGGAAGCACCGGCUAACUCCGUGCCAGCAGCCGCGGUAAUACGGAGGGUGCGAGCGUUGUUCGGAAUUAUUGGGCGUAAAGCGCGUGUAGGCGGUCUUUUAAGUCUGAUGUGAAAGCCCUGGGCUCAACCCAGGAAGUGCAUUGGAAACUGGGAGACUUGAAUACGGGAGAGGGUAGUGGAAUUCCUAGUGUAGGAGUGAAAUCCGUAGAUAUUAGGAGGAACACCGGUGGCGAAGGCGGCUACCUGGACCGAUAUUGACGCUGAGACGCGAAAGCGUGGGGAGCAAACAGGAUUAGAUACCCUGGUAGUCCACGCCGUAAACGAUGAGAACUAGGUGUUGCGGGUA